UACGUAGGGGGCAAGCGUUGUUCGGAAUUACUGGGCGUAAAGCGCACGUAGGCGGCUUUGUAAGUUAGAGGUGAAAGCCCGGGGCUCAACUCCGGAACUGCCUUUAAGACUGCAUCGCUUGAAUCCAGGAGAGGUGAGUGGAAUUCCGAGUGUAGAGGUGAAAUUCGUAGAUAUUCGGAAGAACACCAGUGGCGAAGGCGGCUCACUGGACUGGUAUUGACGCUGAGGUGCGAAAGCGUGGGGAGCAAACAGG
rnacentral:rRNA from 1 species